CCGCCGCGUCCGCCCCUCCCGCCGCGUCCGCCCCUAGGGCCACCCAGGGUCAGAACACUUAGCCGUCAAAAGGAUGAACGAUCGGGGUCCCAGCAGCCGGGGCGAAUCUGCAGAGAAUCACGCUGCAUGAAAAUCGCCAAUCCUCGAGGGUUCCCCCGAACGAUCACGUUUAUGUAACAUUCUUGAGAUGAGAUUCUAGAAGCGGAGAACAGCUACUUCUAGCUUGCUGCUGAGUUCCCAAGGAAAAGACUUGGAAGAUGGUUUGGAGGCAUUGUCUUUGCUCAGAGAACAGACUGGCUGGCUGAGUCUUUUCAGGUCUCUUUGGACAUUUCAGGGUGAGCAGAUGUCUUGAGGGUGUCCCUUGUCUCCCUUUGAAGAUCAUCCAAACCCUGAAAUCUCAAGAAGCAAUCUAGUGGCUUUCCUCAAAUGUAGCUAGAAGACAUUGACCCGGGAAGUUUUGUUAGGAAAUUAGCUAUUAUGAUGAUUUCCUUACAAAACCCCUGGUUUCUGAGAACUUUUACUUCCUGUGGUAUUUUGGGAAGACCUACUGCUUGUCAAGAGUCAUUGAUCUUGAUUCCUUAAAAGCUGUGGCUGGAAUUCUAAUGGCAACAUGUAAUGAACUGGCUUUUUCAUUAAUAAAUUGUAAGUGGAUAAUGUCCCAACAAAAUGGUAAUCUAGAGACCAGAUUCAAGUAAAAAACUCUGUGACUAAAUAGGUUUUUGAUGUUAAGUGGCCAGUCAUGCCAUGAAUAAUUGACUCAUUAAAAAACAAGAAUGCAGGCAUCUCAUAUUUUAACUUAUUUUAAAUCAUCGACUCAAGGGACAUGAGUUUGAGCAAACUCCAGGAGAUAGUAAAGGAUAGGGAAGCCUGGCGUGCUGCAGUCCAUGGGAUCGCAAAGAGUGGGGCAUGACUGAGCAACUGAACAAUUCAGCAGUUAGUUGACAACCAAAUACUGACAAAUUCAACAUGCUUUUUGAAAUUACUUUUGCAUGUACUUGGACCCAAGCAAAUCUUAAACUCCCUGUUUCUACCCCAAACCAAUCAGAGUGUUUUUACAUCUGUGGGAAUAGAGAUAUUAGGUUCUCACAGUACACAGUGACCUAUGGUGGGAGAAAGUUUGAUUAAAAAUUAGAAGUAAAGGGCACUUUCAAGACUGUACCUCUGGAAUUGCAAAUAUAUUUAAGCAGAAUUCUGUUCCAGGACUUGUCUUACUACUUCGUGACUCCGUGAUGAAUGUUGGAUGAGAGGAUGUGAGUUGAGUAAGUCUCCGCUAUUCAAGGACAAGCUAGAAGGGCACUUGAUAUUUCUGGGUAAUGACCAGAAAUAAGAAGAGUGUGGGGUCGUGCCGUUAGCACUAACAUGGCGCUUACCUAGUGCUCGCGGUGCACUGUGGUCUUCAUGUGGAUUAGCUGACUUAGUCCCAGCAGCAGUACCAUAGUGCAGUUUUCUAUUGUUAGUUCCAUUUCACAGAUGAGGAAACUGGGGCCCAAAGAGUCUAGUAAAGAUGCAGAGCAGCCUGGCUCCAGAGCCCACCUUACACUCUGAUAAUGAAUUAAAGAUAAGUGUCCCCAGAGAUAGGGCUGAAAGGGGGUGCAGGGACGUGGCAGGUUGUUCAUUCCUCAUAAGGUUAAAAAAAAAAGCAUAAGCCAAAACCACGUUCCCUAUAACAGUAGAGUCUGUUUCUAAAGGAGCUGAGCAUUGAAGGUGUGCUGAGAUGUGCAGUUCUCUACCUGCUCAGCACUGCAGACAGCAGCAAACAGCAGCGAGAACCACAGGAAGAUUUCCGCCACCUCAUUGGGCUGGAGUAGCCUGUGACCCACGUGAACGUGACUCAGAGUAGUGAGUAUGCAGCACUCCUGUGCCUGUGUACAUCAUGGUUGGCCCUUAAUUCAAGCUUGGUUUCCGGUGCCUCUUACUUUCUUGAUAAUGUCCUUAGACACAUAUAGUGUUUCAGUUUUGAUGAAAUCCAAUUUAUCUAUUUUUUUGUUUUUGUCUUGAAUUUUGGUGUCGUAUCUAAGAGCCCAUUGCCAAGUCCAAAGGUCCUGGACGUUUACUCCUAUGUUUUCUUCUAAAAGUUUUAUAGUUUAGUUCUUACAUUUAGGUUUUUGAUCAAUUUUGAGUUAUUUUUGUAAGGGGAGAACUUCAUCCUUGAGUGUGGAAAUCCAGUUGUCCAGGAUCACCUACGGAGGAGAACAUUCAUCCCCCACUGAAUGAAAUCAGUUGACCAUAGAUGUUUUAGAUGAGGUUUCAUUUGUUUUCACAAAAUGAUCGUGUGUUUUUUUUUUCUCCUUCAUGCUAUUCAUUCGAUGUGUGACUGUGAUAGACUUUCUUACGUUGAGUCACCAUUAUAUUCUUGAACUAAGUCCCUCUUGGUCAUGAUGUGUAAUCCUUUUAAUAUCUUGUUGGAUGCAAUUUGCUAGUAUCUUGCUGAGGCUUUUGUAUCAAUAUUCAUAAGGAAUAUUGUCCUAUAAUUUUAGGACAAUAAUUUUAUUUUCCCAUGAUGUCUAUGUCUUGCUUUGGUAUUGGCCUAUGAGUUCACAAGUCCUCCCUUCUCUAAUUUCUUGUAAAAAUUUGAGAAGGGUUAGUAUGAGAAUUCACCAAUGGGCUACCUGGUCCUGGAAUUUGUUGGGAGGUUUUCCUUUUUAAAAAAACUUAACAUUAAAGUGAGAUAUUUGGUUUGUGGGGAGUCAGUGAGGGAACCUGAGUAGUUAAGAAUUAUGUAUAAUUUAAUUCAGGCCCAUACUACCUCAUAAUGAUGUAACAGUUUCUUAAUUUAUUUCCUGCGAUAGACUUUCCUAUAUUCUGGUUAUUCCAAAUAUUAUGGCAAUUAUGCUUUCUAAAUUAUUGCUUUUCCUUGUCACACAAUACUCAAAAAGUGUGAAUGUCUUCCUGUCGCUUGUAGAAGUAUUACUAAUUUUAAAAGCUUCAUGAAUUUUAAACUGAUAACAUUAAUUUAAAUUAAUAAUUUUAAAAGUGUAAAUAAUUGUAGAAUUAUUAAUAAUUUCAAAAAAUUUUAGCAUUCUACUCAAUCUUCCUUUUGACUCUUUCUCACCUAAGCUCUAAAUGAGCUGCUUCUCCUGCCCUUAUGGGAACUGUGUUCCAGGGAGACUGGUUCAUUCGUUCUCACUUCUGUAACUACUUCUUUCUGGUUAAACCUGAAAUAAGGAAGUGUUUAGGAGCAAAGCCCUACCAAUUAUAAGCUAUGAUCUGAGCAGUCUCAAGACUGCUCAAAAUAAAAUAUGUGUGCAUUUUUAAUUCAUAUUGGGCUUUUUAAAUAAAGAGGCUUUAAGUGGA